CCUACGGGUGGCUGCAGUGGGGAAUAUUGGACAAUGGGCGAAAGCCUGAUCCAGCCAUGCCGCGUGUGUGAAGAAGGCCUUCGGGUUGUAAAGCACUUUCAGUGGGGAAGAAAGCCUUGGGGCUAAUACCCUCGAGGAAGGACAUCACCCACAGAAGAAGCACCGGCUAACUCCGUGCCAGCAGCCGCGGUAAUACGGAGGGUGCGAGCGUUAAUCGGAAUUACUGGGCGUAAAGCGCGCGUAGGCGGUCUGAUAAGCCGGUUGUGAAAGCCCCGGGCUCAACCUGGGAACGGCAUCCGGAACUGUCAGGCUAGAGUGCAGGAGAGGAAGGUAGAAUCCCCGGUGUAGCGGUGAAAUGCGUAGAGAUCGGGAGGAAUACCAGUGGCGAAGGCGGCCUUCUGGACUGACACUGACGCUGAGGUGCGAAAGCGUGGGUAGCAAACAGGAUUAGAUACCCCGGUAGUC
rnacentral:rRNA from 1 species